ACUACUCCGCCAAAAACCACACUCACUGC
rnacentral:sRNA from 1 species